GCUGAGCGCACGGAGCGGUGAAUCCUUUGCGGUGUUUGCGGUGCGCUAAUUACAUUUCCCGAGUCGCGAAGGGAAGUAGGAGCAUUAACACCGGCUGCUUCCAAUAAUUCCGGAGGUGUUCGCGAUGGGAAAUUGAAUACAGCCGGCUGCUUCCAAAAUUCCGGAUUAAGGGAGGUGUUCGGAGGGAGGUGUUGAAUAGAGGUAAGUAUUGAAUAGUUUGUUUUUUUUUUUCUUUAUUAAAGAGA